ACUGGAAAGAACAGCUGAAGUUCAUCAGGAAAGUUAAAUGGAAAAAACCUGCUGCACCUCCUAUAUCCAUCUCCAAUAUGUUCUACUUUCUCUAAAAAUAUCUUCACCAAAAUUAUCUGUGAGUGUGUUGAACCACUGAAUAUACUCUAAUGAGGAUGACCCAUCAUCUGUAUACCCUAUUCUUCACAACUUUUUCUACCUCUCCUGCUUUCAGUUGGCUUACUGUAAAUAUUUUCACCAGAGUGAUUUAUAGGUGUGUUCAACCACUGAAAAUACUCUAACAAGGAUGAUUCAUCAGCCAAACACCCUGUUCUUCACAAUUUUUUCUACCUCUCCUGCUUUCAAAUGGCUUAUUCUAUUAUCCUUCAACCAUCUUU
rnacentral:lncRNA from 1 species